GACGAACGCUGGCGGCGUGCCUAAUACAUGCAAGUCGAGCGAGCGGAACCAACAGAUUUACUUCGGUAAUGACGUUGGGAAAGCGAGCGGCGGAUGGGUGAGUAACACGUGGGGAACCUGCCCCUAAGUCUGGGAUACCAUUGGAAACAGGUGCUAAUACCGGAUAAUAAAGCAGAUCGCAUGAUCAGCUUUUGAAAGGCGGCGUAAGCUGUCGCUAAGGGAUGGCCCCGCGGUGCAUUAGCUAGUUGGUAAGGUAACGGCUUACCAAGGCGACGAUGCAUAGCCGAGUUGAGAGACUGAUCGGCCACAUUGGGACUGAGACACGGCCCAA
rnacentral:rRNA from 1 species